rnacentral:rRNA from 1 species
CAGGCCUAACACAUGCAAGUCGAACGGGUGGUAGCAAUACCACUAGUGGCGCACGGGUGCGUAACGCGUAACCAACCUGCCCUGAACUGGGGGAUAGCCCGCCGAAAGGCAUUAAUACCGCAUAAACCAACAGUACGGCAUCGUAUAAUUGGUAAAGAUUUAUUGGUUCAGGAUGGGGUUGCGUGACAUUAGCUAGUUGGCGGGGUAACGGCCCACCAAGGCGACGAUGUCUAGGGGACCUGAGAGGGUGAUCCCCCACACUGGCACUGAGAUACGGGCCAGACUCCUACGGGAGGCAGCAGUAGGGAAUAUUGGGCAAUGGGCGAGAGCCUGACCCAGCCAUGCCGCGUGCCGGAUGAAGGCCUUCUGGGUUGUAAACGGCUUUUCUCAGGGAAGAAAAAGACCAUGCGUGGUACCUGACGGUACCUGAGGAAUAAGCACCGGCUAACUCCGUGCCAGCAGCCGCGGUAAUAAGGAGGGUGCAA